ACGGGAGGCAGCAGUGAGGAAUAUUGGUCAAUGGUCGGAAGACUGAACCAGCCAAGUCGCGUGCAGGAAGACGGUCCUAUGGAUUGUAAACUGCUUUUGUACGGGAAUAAAGUGCGGGACGUGUCCCGUUUGGAAUGUACCGUAAGAAUAAGGGUCGGCUAACUCCGUGCCAGCAGCCGCGGUAAUACGGAGGACCCGAGCGUUAUCCGGAUUUAUUGGGUUUAAAGGGUGCGUAGGCGGGAUGUUAAGUCAGCGGUGAAAGCGUGUAGCUCAACUAUACCAAGCCGUUGAAACUGGCGUCCUUGAGUGUAAACGAGGUAGGCGGAAUGUGAUGUGUAGCGGUGAAAUGCUUAGAUAUGUCACAGAACCCCGAUUGCGAAGGCAGCUUACCAGCAUACAACUGACGCUGAGGCACGAAAGCGUGGGUAUCAAACAGGAUUAGAUACCCUGGUA
rnacentral:rRNA from 1 species